UGCUCUGAAAAAAUCCCAGAUAUUUCCUGUUUGAAAAAUCCACCUGGACAGAGGAUGGAGGCUCAAAAAAAGAGGCAAUAUCUAGGAAAACCUGGACAUAUGGUAACCCUACCCUAGAAUGGGAAGACCUGAACCUAUUGUACUCACACAGUCAUUCUAAAAAAUUCAUAAUCUUAAAACUACAGAAACCAGAAGCCUCAAAAGCCAUUUCCCUCUGUGACACAAGAGAACUGUCCCCCCAGAUGAACUAUUUACUACUCUGAUAUAAUCAAUACUGUACACCAAAUUCUUAAGGCAUCUGAACCAUCACAACCCUACUUGCCUUUUCUUCAAGAAUCUCAUCUGUUUUUUGUAGGUAAAAAGGCAACAAGCAGCUUUAAUCAGGAUUACUUCAAACGCGCAGAACUAGGUUGUAUCACUGCUAGACGCACAGCCCAGGUGAAUCCAGGAGCAGCCCUGCCUUCAAACACAUUGACUGAGCAUGUGCACAGUGGGUCACAAAGGACAGUUGUGAAUUCAGCAAUGUUACAAAACAUGCAGUUGUCAAGAUUGUAUAACAGCUGCUUUGGGAACAGACAAGUACCUGCUGUUGAAGGACCAUGGAGGAUGUAGAAACUGAUAAGUUCAGGAUCCCCAGUGAGAGAGACUUUCAGAUUGAUGUACACAAGCUAGAAUUGGAGAGAAGGAACGAGGAAGCUGAGGAGUGUUUCUGCUUGGUUCUUUCCUCACUGGAACAUCAUAAGACUACAAGUUCAGUUCCUGCAGAUUAUCAAAAGUCUGAGGUGGCAUCAUGCACAUCAGCACUCUCAGCUGCAGGACAUUUACUGCAGUUAUUUCACUCUGGCACUCCUACCCUCAUUUGACUCCAGACAGAUCUGGAACUACCUUUACCUUUGUCUGUUCAGGAGGCUGAUUCAGCCAAAGUAUGUUCUGGGAAUUUUUGCUCAUCUACCACUCACCCUGAAUUUCUAAGUGUGAAUCAAAGCAUCUCCAAUAAACUUUCAUUUGCUGCUGUGGCCCAGAAUUCAGCACCAAAGAGCAAAAAUGAAAACUGGACAUCUUCAUGGACUUUGAAAAACAGCUGCUCUGAUAAUGUAAAAUGUCCUCAGAAAAGUUAUGAGACUGAUCAACUGUCAAUAGCUAUAGAAAGUGCAUAUCAUGGCUAACCGGAGCCUGAAGAUUGUGUUUUGUAUUCUUUGGAUAACUGUGUUUGUUCUUAGUGGAGAUCUCACCUGCAAAUAAGUCUAUAAACAGAGCUGAAAAGGGAAGGAGAAAGAAGAAGGCAUCUUUGCCAAGGAGCCCGGUAGCUGUGAAAGCUGCAGUGUUCUGGUGUAGAAGAGAUUUGUGUGUAUAUGACAAACCUGCAUUAAUAAAGACACAGGAUCUUGAGGUUCCAAUUAUCCCUGUUUUCCAGUGGAGCUUCCAUGAAGAAAAUGGGCAAAAUUAUACAUUGGCAGCUGGAGGCGCUAUCAGAUAUGGGCUUUCCUAUGCCCUGCCGUAGCUGAACCAGUCUCUGCUGGCCAGGUUUAAACUCUUUUUGAGAUCUUUUAAGACAAAAAAACUUGUACCUUUCCCUAUAUUCCAGUUUUUGUGGGAGAUGACAUUUAAGUAUUCAUAUGAGUCUUUUGGCUAGCUUCUAGCAUAUUUUACAACCUGAAGAAUGACUGGGGUUUUGAAAAUGACCCUCAAAGGAACAUGAACCGGAAUUUUGCCUUUAUUUGUCUUUUUAUAAUGAAUAAGCCUUUUUUAUGUCAUCUUCCACCAGUGAUAUUUGGUUUCUCUUUCUAUUGUUGUGGAUUUAUUUUUAUUUUCAAAUCAUUAUUUUGAAGUAGGAAAGGAAGCGUUAGACUAAAAACUUGUUAUAUCUUUGUGGCUGCAAAUCAACCAUCCUUUCAUAAUCUACUGGUUUGUGUAUAAAUCACCAUUGCCCUCUAGUGGAUGGAAUGUCAAACGUAUUUGUACGUGCCUAGGUUCUGAGCUAGUGGAACUGAUUUUCCUAGGUCACAGGUUUGGUAGAUAAAAGUUCAAUUUUCACACCUGUUGCCACAUGCUGGUGACUGGUAUAUAUUUGUGCCUACAUGUUGUUGCAUUUGACUCAGCAUAACGUGCCUAAGUAUUGCUGAUCAUAUUGUAUGCAAGAGCAUCUUCUGUUCUAAAACUAUUAAAGUAGCUAAGCAAUAGUUUCUUGCUUCUUUGGACUGUGGCAAUUUUGU